UACGGGGGGUGCGAGCGUUGUCCGGAGUUACUGGGCGUAAAGGGCGCGCAGGCGGCGGUGCUGGCCCGGCGUGAAAGCCCCCGGCUCAACCGGGGAGGGUCGUCGGGGACCGCACCGCUUGAGGGCGGUAGGGGCCGGUGGAAUGCCUGGUGUAGUGGUGAAAUGCGUAGAGAUCAGGCAGAACACCUGGGGCGAAGGCGGCCGGCUGGGCCGACCCUGACGCUGAGGCGCGAAGGCGUGGGGAGCGAACGGG
rnacentral:rRNA from 1 species